ensembl:lncRNA
AGCGCCUUGGGCAGCCUGCCCCAAGUGUCAUUGCUUUGCACACAGGUCCCUCCCCUGUGCCCCGCUCCGCCACAGCACUGUCACUGGGUUUUGUGUUUCACGUGUAUCUGCUACUCUGCUGGACUAAGAAGAACUAGGGGAGAGUGUCUUCCUCACCCUUGGAUCCCAGAGGAUGCACAAGGCCUGGCCCAGAGCAGAGACGACUCACUGGAAAAGACCCUGGUGCUGGGAAAGAUUGGAGACAGGAGGAGAAAGAGAUGACAGAGGAUGAGAUGGUUUGGAUGGCAUCACUGACCUAAUGGAUCUGAGUUCAGCUGCCCUUGGGCUUCCCAGAGAAAUCUUGGAGGGCUGAGUUCACAGCUUUGCUGGAGAUUCACAGCUGGAAUAAGAUGUUCAAGCAAGGAACACGAAGAGGAAUACAUCCCUUUAAUGUAAAAGUAGACUCGAUGGAGUUGUAAAGAGAAGAGGAGAAAGGAGUUUCAAGUUUCCUUUCCUGGAGAAAAUCAUCAUCUCAAGUUCGGAACAGGACAUAAUCUGAAAGCAAGUGGCUGAAGGUGGUCUGGAGUUCCCAUGUGGAG